ACGAACGCUGGCGGCAGGCUUAACACAUGCAAGUCGAACGAACGCAGCAAUGCGUUAGUGGCGCACGGGUGAGUAACGCGUGGAUAUCUGCCUUUUGGUUCGGGAUAACCUUGGGAAACUAGGGCUAAUACCGAAUGGUUCCUACGGGAUAAAGAUUUAUCGCCAAAAGAUGAGUCCGCGUCCGAUUAGCUAGUUGGUGAGGUAAUGGCUCACCAAGGCGACGAUCGGUAGCUGGUCUGAGAGGACGAUCAGCCACACUGGGACUGAGACACGGCCCAGACUCCUACGGGAGGCAGCAGUGGGGAAUAUUGGACAAUGGGGGCAACCCUGAUCCAGCCAUGCCGCGUGAGUGAUGAAGGCCUUCGGGUUGUAAAGCUCUUUUGGCGGGGACGAUGAUGACGGUACCCGCAGAAUAAGCCCCGGCUAACUUCGU
rnacentral:rRNA from 1 species